UACGUAGGGUGCAAGCGUUGUCCGGAAUUAUUGGGCGUAAAGAGCUCGUAGGCGGUCUGUCGCGUCGGAUGUGAAAAUCCAGGGCUCAACCCGUGGACCUGCAUUCGAUACGGGCAGACUAGAGUUCGGUAGGGGAGACGUGGAAUUCCUGGUGUAGCGGUGAAAUGCGCAGAUAUCAGGAAGAACACCCGUGGCGAAGGCGGCUCUCUGGGACGGUACUGACGCUGAGACGCGAAAGCGUGGGGAGUGAACAGG
rnacentral:rRNA from 1 species